UGGGGAAUAUUGGACAAUGGGCGCAAGCCUGAUCCAGCCAUGCCGCGUGAGUGAUGAAGGCCCUAGGGUUGUAAAGCUCUUUCACCGGUGAAGAUAAUGACGGUAACCGGAGAAGAAGCCCCGGCUAACUUCGUGCCAGCAGCCGCGGUAAUACGAAGGGGGCUAGCGUUGUUCGGAUUUACUGGGCGUAAAGCGAACGUAGGCGGACGAUUAAGUCAGGGGUGAAAUCCCGGGGCUCAACCCCGGAACUGCCUUUGAUACUGGUAGUCUUGAGUUCGGGAGAGGUGAGUGGAAUUCCGAGUGUAGAGGUGAAAUUCGUAGAUAUUCGGAGGAACACCAGUGGCGAAGGCGGCUCACUGGCUCGAUACUGACGCUGAGGUGCGAAAGCGUGGGGAGCAAACAGG
rnacentral:rRNA from 1 species